rnacentral:rRNA from 1 species
GAGUUUGAUCCUGGCUCAGGAUGAACGCUAGCGGCAGGCUUAAUACAUGCAAGUCGAGGGGCAGCACAGGUAGCAAUACUGGGUGGCGACCGGCAAACGGGUGCGGAACACGUACGCAACCUUCCUUUAAGCGGGGGAUAGCCCAGGGAAACUUGGAUUAAUACCCCAUAAGACGGUGGUGUGGCAUCACACAGCUGUUAAAGCUACGGCACUUAAAGAUGGGCGUGCGGCUGAUUAGGUAGUUGGCGGGGUAACGGCCCACCAAGCCAACGAUCAGUAACUGGUGUGAGAGCACGACCAGUCACACGGGCACUGAGACACGGGCCCGACUCCUACGGGAGGCAGCAGUAAGGAAUAUUGGUCAAUGGACGCAAGUCUGAACCAGCCAUGCCGCGUGGAGGAUGAAGGCCCUCUGGGUUGUAAACUUCUUUUAUUGGGGAAGAAACCCAUCUUUUCUAAGGUGGUUGACGGUACCCGAUGAAUAAGCACCGGCUAACUCCGUGCCAGCAUCCGCGGUAAUACGGAGGGUGCAAGCGUUAUCCGGAUU